AGUCGAGCGGAGAGAGGUAGCUUGCUACUGAUCUUAGCGGCGGACGGGUGAGUAAUGCUUAGGAAUCUGCCUAUUAGUGGGGGACAACAUUUCGAAAGGAAUGCUAAUACCGCAUACGUCCUACGGGAGAAAGCAGGGGAUCUUCGGACCUUGCGCUAAUAGAUGAGCCUAAGUCGGAUUAGCUAGUUGGUGGGGUAAAGGCCUACCAAGGCGACGAUCUGUAGCGGGUCUGAGAGGAUGAUCCGCCACACUGGGACUGAGACACGGCCCAGACUCCUACGGGAGGCAGCAGUGGGGAAUAUUGGACAAUGGGCGCAAGCCUGAUCCAGCCAUGCCGCGUGUGUGAAGAAGGCCUUAUGGUUGUAAAGCACUUUAAGCGAGGAGGAGGCUACUUUAGUUAAUACCUAGAGAUAGUGGACGUUACUCGCAGAAUAAGCACCGGCUAACUCUGUGCCAGCAGCCGCGGUAAUACAGAGGGUGCAAGCGUUAAUCGGAUUUA
rnacentral:rRNA from 1 species